GAUGAACGCUAGCUACAGGCUUAACACAUGCAAGUCGAGGGGCAGCAUGACGAUAGCUUGCUAUUGUCGAUGGCGACCGGCGCACGGGUGAGUAACGCGUAUCCAACCUUCCCGUUGCUAGGGGAUAACCUUGCGAAAGUAAGACUAAUACCCUAUGAAGUUCUUCGCAGGCAUCUAAAGAGAACGAAAGAUUUAUCGGCAACGGAUGGGGAUGCGUCUGAUUAGGUUGUUGGCGGGGUAACGGCCCACCAAGCCCACGAUCAGUAGGGGUUCUGAGAGGAAGGUCCCCCACAUUGGAACUGAGACACGGUCCAAACUCCUACGGGAGGCAGCAGUGAGGAAUAUUGGUCAAUGGGCGAGAGCCUGAACCAGCCAAGUAGCGUGCAGGACGACGGCCCUAUGGGUUGUAAACUGCUUUUAUAGGGGGAUAAAGUGUGCCAGUGUGGCAUAUUGCAGGUACCCUAUGAAUAAGGACCGGCUAAAUUCCCGUGCCAGCAGCCG
rnacentral:rRNA from 1 species